rnacentral:rRNA from 1 species
UAGGGAAUAUUGGGCAAUGGGCGAAAGCCUGACCCAGCGACGCCGCGUGAGGGAUGAAGGUCUUCGGAUUGUAAACCUCUUUCAGUAGGGAAGAAGCGAAAGUGACGGUACCUAAAGAAGAAGCACCGGCUAACUAUGUGCCAGCAGCCGCGGUAAUACA